rnacentral:rRNA from 1 species
AGAGUUUGAUCCUGGCUCAGAACGAACGCUGGCGGCAGGCUUAACACAUGCAAGUCGAACGGGCGCGAGCAAUCGCGUCAGUGGCAGACGGGUGAGUAACGCGUGGGAACAUACCCUUCGGUUCGGAAUAGCUCAGGGAAACUUGGAUUAAUACCGGAUACGCCCUUGGAUGAAAGUCUGGGGGGAAAGAUUGAUCGCCGGAGGAUUGGCCCGCGUUCGAUUAGCUUGUUGGUGAGGUAACGGCUCACCAAGGCGAUGAUCGAUAGCUGGUCUGAGAGGAUGAUCAGCCACAUUGGGACUGAGACACGCCCAAACUCCUACGGGAGGCAGCAGUGGGGAAUAUUGGACAAUGGGCGCAAGCCUGAUCCAGCCAUGCCGCGUGAGUGAUGACGGCCUUAGGGUUGUAAAGCUCUUUCGCUCGGGACGAUAAUGACGGUACCGAGAGAAGAAGCCCCGGCUAACUUCGUGCCAGCAGCCGCGGUAAUACGAAGGGGGCUAGCGUUGUUCGGAAUUACUGGGCGUAAAGCGCGUGUAGGCGGAUGUUUAAGUCAGGGGUGAAAUGCCAAGGCUCAACCUUGGAACUGCCUUUGAUACUGGAGAUCUUGAGUCCGGGAGAGGUGAGUGGAAUUGCGAGUGUAGAGGUGAAAUUCGUAGAUAUUCGCAAGAACACCGGUGGCGAAGGCGGCUCACUGGCCCGGAACUGACGCUGAGACGCGAAAGCGUGGGGAGCAAACAGGAUUAGAUACCCCGGUAGUCC